GAUGAACGCUGGCGGCGUGCCUAAUACAUGCAAGUCGAGCGAACGGACGAGAAGCUUGCUUCUCUGAUGUUAGCGGCGGACGGGUGAGUAACACGUGGAUAACCUACCUAUAAGACUGGGAUAACUUCGGGAAACCGGAGCUAAUACCGGAUAAUAUUUUGAACCGCAUGGUUCAAAAGUGAAAGACGGUCUUGCUGUCACUUAUAGAUGGAUCCGCGCUGCAUUAGCUAGUUGGUAAGGUAACGGCGUACCAAGGCAACGAUGCAUAGCCGACCUGAGAGGGUGAUCGGCCACCCUGGAACUGCGACCCGGUCCAGACUCCUACGGGCGGCAGCAGUAGGGAAUCUUCCGCAAUGGGCGCAAGCCUGACGGAGCCACGCCGCGUGAGUGAUGAAGGUCUUCGGAUCGUAAAACUCUGUUAUUAGGGAAGAACAUAUGUGUAAGUAACUGUGCACAUCUUGACGGUACCUAAUCAGAAAGCCCCGGCUAACUACGUG
rnacentral:rRNA from 1 species